rnacentral:lncRNA from 1 species
CUUCCAAUUAAGAGGAACUGUGUUUGAAGAGCUAUUAUUAAAGAACCACCCCUGAGAAGCUUUAUUUUCCCCUGGACCCAAUUUAGAGAAUGACAUACUGGACUUCUGGCUGAUGCUGUAAUGGGAAAAUUAGCUGGGCGUGGUGGUGAGGACCUGCAGUUCCAGCUACUCAGGAGGCUGAGACAAGAGAAUAGCAUGAACCCGGGAGGCAGAGCUUGCAGGAAGCCGAGAUCGCCCAGGAAGCCGAGAUAGCGCAACUGUACUCCAGCCUGGGUGACAGAGCGAGACUCCAUCUCAAAAAAAAAAAAAAAAAAAAAUUGGGGUAUAGCCAUAUUGGAGCAAAGGAAAGGCAAACAGGUAGAGAUACAAGAGCUAAAAACCUACAUCCCUUAACAGAGUCAGUGAACACCAUCUAAAACUGAUGCAUAAAUAGCAGAACAUGCAUAUUAUGUAGAAAAUACGGAGACAAAUAUCAGAAGAAUUACCUAAAAUUGUUGAAAGGCCUUGUUUCUUUUUUUUUCUUUAUUAUUGUACUUUAAGUUCUAGGGUACAUGUGCACAAUGUGCAGGUUUGUUACAUAUGUAUACAUGUCCCAUGUUGGUGUGCUGCACCCAUUAACUCGUCAUUUACAUUAGGUAUAUCUCCUAAUGCUAUCCCUCCCCCCUCCCCCCACCCCACAACAUUCCCCGAUGUGUGAUGUUCCCCUUCCUGUGUUCAUGUGUUCUCAUUGUUCAAUUCCCACCUAUGAGUGAAAACGUGGUG